rnacentral:rRNA from 1 species
AUUGAACGCUGGCGGCAUGCUUUACACAUGCAAGUCGAACGGUAACAGGCCUUCGGGUGCUGACGAGUGGCGAACGGGUGAGUAAUGCAUCGGAACGUGCCCAGAGGUGGGGGAUAACGCAGCGAAAGCUGUGCUAAUACCGCAUGUGAUCUGAGGAUGAAAGCGGGGGACCAGGCAGCAAUGUUUGGCCUCGCGCCUUUGGAGCGGCCGAUGUCAGAUUAGGUAGUUGGUGGGGUAAAGGCCUACCAAGCCGACGAUCUGUAGCUGGUCUGAGAGGACGACCAGCCACACUGGGACUGAGACACGGCCCAGACUCCUACGGGAGGCAGCAGUGGGGAAUUUUGGACAAUGGGCGCAAGCCUGAUCCAGCAAUGCCGCGUGCGGGAAGAAGGCCUUCGGGUUGUAAACCGCUUUUGUACGGAACGAAAAGGCUCUGGCUAAUACCUGGGGCUGAUGACGGUACCGUAAGAAUAAGAACCGGCUAACUACGUG